AUACUGCCACCGAAUACUUACAUGGGAUAAUGGAAUAGGACCCUGUCCUUCAUGUUUCGCGUUGGUUGUGCCACGUGCGUGCGCUUCGCGGUGCGCGCGCGUGGCAUGGUUUCGUCUAAAGGAGGACCAGGGUAAUGAUUAAUAGGGAUAGUUGGGGGCAUUAAUAUUUAAUUGUCAGAGGUGAAAUUCUUGGAUUUAUGAAAGAUUAACUUCUGCGAAAGCAUCUGCCAAGGAUGUUUUCAUUAAUCAAGAACGAAAGUUAGGGGAUCGAAGACGAUUAGAUACCGUCGUACUCUUAACCAUAAACCAUGCCGACCAGCGAUUGGGA
rnacentral:rRNA from 1 species